rnacentral:rRNA from 1 species
GAGUUUGAUCAUGGCUCAGAUUGAACGCUGGCGGCGUGCUUAACACAUGCAAGUCGAGCGGUAACAGGCGUAGCAAUACGUGCUGACGAGCGGCGAACGGGUGAGUAAUGCUUCGGAAUCUUCCUCGUAGUGGGGAAUAACCUGGGGAAACUCAGGCUAAUACCGCAUACGAACUACGGUUGAAAGCAGGGGAUCGCAAGACCUUGCGCUAUGAGAUGAGCCGAAGUCGGAUUAGCUAGUUGGUGAGGUAAAGGCUCACCAAGGCGACGAUCCGUAGCUGGUCUGAGAGGACGACCAGCCACACUGGGACUGAGACACGGCCCAGACUCCUACGGGAGGCAGCAGUGGGGAAUUUUGGACAAUGGGGGCAACCCUGAUCCAGCCAUGCCGCGUGAGUGAAGAAGGCC